CGGGUCGGCGGGUGGAGGAACGCGGCCCUCUGUAAUGGCGGAGCGUGGCGGGGACGGGGGGGACGGUGAGCGAUUCAAUCCGGGGGAGCUCAGGAUGGCUCAACAGCAGGCCUUGCGGUUCCGAGGACCGGCUCCCCCACCAAAUGCAGUGAUGCGAGGCCCACCACCUCUCAUGCGACCUCCCCCACCUUUUGGUAUGAUGAGAGGCCCUCCACCACCACCUCGGCCCCCCUUUGGACGUCCUCCUUUUGAUCCUAAUAUGCCACCAAUGCCUCCUCCAGGAGGGAUACCUCCACCUAUGGGCCCUCCACACCUCCAGAGACCACCUUUCAUGCCUCCACCUAUGGGAACCAUGCCUCCCCCUCCCGGUAUGAUGUUUCCACCAGGAAUGCCUCCUGUGACUGCACCUGGUACUCCAGCACUGCCUCCUACCGAAGAGAUAUGGGUUGAAAAUAAAACUCCAGAUGGGAAGGUUUAUUAUUACAAUGCUCGGACACGUGAAUCUGCAUGGACCAAGCCAGAUGGAGUUAAGGUUAUUCAGCAAUCAGAACUGACACCUAUGCUUGCAGCCCAGGCGCAGGUUCAGGCUCAAGCCCAGGCGCAGGCUCAAGCCCAGGCGCAGGCUCAAGCCCAAGCCCAAGCGCAGGCCCAGGCCCAAGCACAGGCCCAGGCCCAGGCCCAGGCCCAAGCCCAGGCUCAGGCUCAGGCCCAGGCUCAGGCUCAGGCCCAGGCCCAGGCCCAGGCUCAGGCGCAAGCACAGGCACAGGCACAAGCUCAGGCCCAGGCCCAAGCCCAGGCUCAGGCUCAGGCUCAAGCCCAGGCCCAGGCCCAAGCACAGGCCCAGGUCCAGGCGCAAGUACAAGCACAAGCAGUUGGAGCUUCCACCCCUACGACCAGUAGCCCAGCAUCUGCAGUAUCCACUUCAACAUCGUCAUCCACCCCUUCCUCCACCACUUCUACCACAACAACUGCCACUUCAGUUGUACAGACAGUAUCAACACCCACAACACAAGAUCAGACCCCAAGUUCUGCUGUUUCAGUUGCCACGCCUACAGUUAGUGUUUCAACUCCUGGUCCUACAGCCACACCUGUGCAAACUGUUCCCCAGCCGCAUCCCCAGACGUUACCUCCUGCUGUUCCUCAUUCAGUACCUCAGCCAGCAGCAGCAAUUCCUGCUUUUCCACCAGUAAUGGUACCUCCGUUCCGUGUUCCCCUUCCUGGCAUGCCAAUUCCACUUCCAGGUGUAGCAAUGAUGCAAAUAGUCAGCUGCCCGUAUGUAAAGACAGUCGCUACCACCAAGACCGGUGUAUUGCCAGGAAUGGCACCUCCUAUUGUACCCAUGAUACAUCCCCAGGUUGCUAUUGCAGCUUCACCUGCUACCUUAGCUGGAGCAACAACAGUUUCUGAAUGGACUGAAUAUAAAACAGCAGAUGGGAAGACAUAUUAUUAUAAUAAUAGAACAUUAGAAUCAACCUGGGAAAAACCCCAAGAACUAAAGGAAAAAGAAAAAUUAGAAGAGAAGAUUAAAGAGCCAAUUAAAGAACCUUCUGAAGAACCUCUGCCAAUGGAGACAGAGGAGGAGGAUCCUAAAGAAGAGCCUAUAAAGGAGAUAAAGGAGGAGCCCAAAGAGGAGGAGAUGACUGAAGAAGAAAAGGCGGCCCAGAAGGCAAAGCCAGUAGCUACUACUCCUAUUCCUGGUACUCCAUGGUGUGUUGUUUGGACCGGUGAUGAACGGGUUUUCUUUUACAAUCCUACCACUCGUCUUUCUAUGUGGGACCGACCUGAUGAUCUGAUUGGAAGGGCAGAUGUUGACAAAAUUAUUCAGGAGCCCCCUCAUAAAAAAGGAAUGGAAGACAUGAAGAAACUAAGGCAUCCAACCCCAACAAUGCUGUCCAUCCAAAAGUGGCAAUUCUCUAUGAGUGCAAUUAAAGAAGAACAAGACCUAAUGGAAGAAAUUAAUGAAGAUGAGCCUGUUAAAGCAAAAAAACGGAAGAGAGACGAUAAUAAAGACAUUGACUCAGAGAAAGAAGCUGCCAUGGAAGCUGAAAUUAAAGCUGCCCGAGAAAGGGCCAUUGUCCCUCUGGAGGCUCGAAUGAAGCAGUUCAAGGACAUGCUGCUAGAGAGAGGGGUAUCUGCUUUUUCAACAUGGGAGAAGGAGUUGCACAAGAUAGUUUUUGAUCCUCGGUAUUUACUUCUCAAUCCUAAAGAGAGAAAACAGGUGUUUGAUCAAUAUGUAAAGACCAGGGCAGAGGAAGAGCGCAGGGAAAAGAAAAACAAAAUAAUGCAAGCCAAGGAAGAUUUCAAAAAAAUGAUGGAAGAAGCAAAAUUUAAUCCAAGAGCUACUUUUAGUGAAUUUGCAGCCAAGCAUGCUAAAGAUUCAAGAUUCAAAGCAAUUGAAAAGAUGAAAGACCGAGAAGCCUUGUUUAAUGAAUUUGUGGCAGCUGCAAGGAAAAAAGAGAAAGAAGAUUCGAAGACCAGAGGUGAGAAGAUUAAAUCGGAUUUCUUUGAACUAUUGUCUAAUCAUCACUUGGACAGUCAGUCUCGAUGGAGCAAAGUAAAAGACAAAGUAGAAAGUGAUCCACGUUACAAAGCAGUGGAUAGUUCAUCAAUGAGAGAAGAUCUUUUCAAACAGUACAUUGAAAAAAUAGCCAAGAAUUUAGACUCGGAAAAAGAGAAGGAGCUUGAAAGGCAAGCCCGCAUUGAGGCGAGCCUUCGAGAACGAGAAAGGGAGGUUCAAAAAGCUCGUUCAGAACAAACAAAAGAAAUAGAUCGAGAGAGAGAACAACACAAACGAGAAGAAGCCAUCCAGAAUUUCAAGGCUCUUCUGUCUGACAUGGUACGUUCUUCAGAUGUAUCAUGGUCUGAUACUCGUAGGACCCUCCGUAAAGAUCACCGCUGGGAAUCUGGAUCCUUACUGGAACGAGAGGAGAAAGAGAAGCUUUUUAAUGAACACAUUGAAGCACUUACCAAAAAGAAGAGGGAGCACUUUAGGCAACUUCUGGAUGAAACUUCUGCGAUUACCUUAACAUCCACAUGGAAAGAAGUAAAAAAAAUCAUUAAAGAAGAUCCUCGUUGCAUUAAGUUCUCGUCCAGUGAUAGGAAAAAACAGAGAGAGUUUGAAGAAUAUAUCAGAGACAAAUAUAUCACAGCCAAAGCUGAUUUCAGGACACUUUUGAAAGAGACCAAAUUUAUAACAUAUAGUUAAUUUAGUGAAAGAUGUGAAAGUGAAAGCUUGUGAAAGAUGCUGGGAUUGGCAGCCCCGCAGACUGAAGUCCUCUGUUCAUCCACAGAACAGAUCUAAAAAGCUAAUUCAAGAAUCUGAUCAGCACCUGAAAGACGUGGAAAAAAUUUUGCAAAAUGACAAACGGUACCUUGUACUGGACUGUGUGCCUGAGGAAAGGCGUAAACUGAUUGUGGCCUAUGUGGAUGACCUGGAUCGCAGGGGCCCACCUCCUCCUCCCACAGCGUCAGAGCCCACGAGACGAUCAACAAAAUAAUUCUGAAUACUCUUCCACAGGGGUAUCUAUUAAUUCAAAACGCUUGCAUGAGCCAAUUUUCAGGUUUUUACAUAUAUGUGCAUUAGUCAACCUAUUGCAAAACCAUCUGACGAACAGAAGGAGAAGCAUUCACAAACAGUUUCUGAACAGAACACUUGGAAUAUUUAUGCUUUUCUUUGUGUGGCAUGACUGACAUACAUACUCAAAUAUAGGCUGUCUCUAGUAAAUCUAAAAUCUUCUGAAGCUAAAAAUCAGACUUUUAUGAGGUGUGGAAUUCAGUGACUUGGUGACGACGUUCUCUCUAGCAGUGUUAUACGUGCAAGACAUAAGAGCAUUUGUGGUCUGAACUUGCCAGAUGCAAAAACCACAGACUCCAAGAAAACCUAAGUUGGGGUUUGUUUUGUUUUCAUUUUGUUUUUUAAAGCGGGUAAAAGAGAAAACACUGAAAAUUGAAUUCUUAUCUUCCAGAGGCUAAGAUUAUUACAAUGGACAAUACUUUUACCUUUGUCUCUAAAGAACAGUUUUGUUUUAUUUGUUCACUUAUGUGCUUUGAUUAUCCCCUCUGAAUUAUAGACCAAGUCUUGUUGUUUAGCCGACGAGAAGAUUUAUGUAGUAAUUUCUUCUCAGGUAUGGAACCACGGUCAUAACUAACAUGUUGGCCAGAAUAGAACCACUGGUUAAACAUAUUUUCUUCACCAUUAAGUGAUCUUUAUCAAUAUUCUGAAUUAGACAACAAAUUAAAUAUCCUUCUGGGUGUUCCCUGUAAACUAUAUUCCUGUUUGAAUGUUAAACUUUUGUUUCUAAAGUUUAAGAUGUUUGAAUGUUCAGUUUAUGUAUUUGAACUACAAUAAACCACCCCUUUUUAUAUA